UUGGUGAGCCCUUCUCUCACACUUUGUCAAGGAUGAACCCUACAUUUUGAAUUUGAAUUUGAAUCCAUCACCGGUUCAUAUUGAAUCUGAAAUUGAAUCCAUAUUGGUGAGCCCUUCUCUCACACUUUGUCACCGAUUCUCAUCCCUCUCAAUGCCAUGAGUAUCGACGCCAAACCCGUUCCCAUAUCGAAUCUGUGAGUAUCAAACUCGUCCCCCUCUCGAACCUGUGACCCUCUCGAACCUGUCACCGUCACUCUCAGAGUCGUCGUUCAAUGUCGUCGUCUCGCUCUCAUCUGUGAAUGACUUCAAGGAAAGGCAAAUGGUUUAAACUUGGAUAGUAGUCGCAUGUGUCAGUUUUGCAGUGGUUUAAACUUCAAGUAGGAAAGGCAAAUGGUCUAGAGCUUUAUCUAUAAAUAGUAGUCGCCUGUUUCAGUUUUACAGCGGAUUAUCUUGGAUAUUCAUUUUGCAUAAGUUGAAAAGCAAAUGGUUUCAAUUAUAUGUUGUUUUGGAGAUAUCAACCUCAAUGCAAAUAUGACUUUUGUUGUUGAAGAGUUCAAGAAUUGCAUACUCCAAUAAAAGAUGGUGGUCCUUUCUGGCAGCUUUAAAAGAACUCGCCUUUUGUGGCUAGACUAGAUAAUAUCUACAAAAGUUCAAAGUUUUGUUUCUCCCUGUUAAAAAUUCUGAGGUAAAAUGAGAGUAAGUAAUUAAAGAGAAGAGCAAUCAAGAUCAUUGGAGUCAAGAUUUGAUAAAAUAGGACAUAUGGAAUUCGCUGAGCGAGCAAACGUCUAGCUAAGCGAGUUCAAAACAAUGAGUUUGCUAAACCAUUGGAGAAAGCUUGGAAAUAAUUAUUGAAGACCAAUUUCUCUUCUUUUCAUCUUGAUCUUGUAAAGCUACCAAUGCGAUGAAUAGCUACACUUUUCUUUGUUCGAAUUAGAUGUAAUUAAUCAUAUUUUUCUGUAUCUCU